rnacentral:rRNA from 1 species
AGAACCCGUCUUCGGACGGUGGACAGUGGCGCACGGGUGAGUAACGCGUGGGAAUCUACCCUAAAGUGGGGAAUAACGUCUGGAAACGGACGCUAAUACCGCAUAAUCCCUUCGGGGGAAAGGCUUCGGCCGCUUUUGGAUGAGCCCGCGUCUGAUUAGCUUGUUGGUGGGGUAAUGGCCUACCAAGGCGACGAUCAGUAGCUGGUCUGAGAGGAUGAUCAGCCACACUGGGACUGAGACACGGCCCAGACUCCUACGGGAGGCAGCAGUGGGGAAUAUUGGACAAUGGGGGAAACCCUGAUCCAGCAAUGCCGCGUGAGUGAAGAAGGCCUUAGGGUUGUAAAGCUCUUUCAGAUGUGAGGAUGAUGACAGUAGCAUCAGAAGAAGCCCCGGCUAACUCCGUGCCAGCAGCCGCGGUAAUACGGAGGGGGCUAGCGUUGUUCGGAUUUACUGGGCGUAAAGCGCGCGUAGGCGGCGCUUCAAGUCAGAGGUGAAAUCCCGGGGCUCAACCCCGGAAUUGCCUUUGAAACUGAAGUGCUUGAGUUCUAGAGAGGGUGGCGGAAUUCCAAGUGUAGAGGUGAAAUUCGUAGAUAUUUGGAAGAACACCAGUGGCGAAGGCGGCCACCUGGCUAGAUACU